rnacentral:tmRNA from 1 species
GGGGCUGAUUUAGGAUUCGACAGGAAUUUUGAAGUCUGAGGUGCAUGCCGUGGGGCGGUUGGCCACGUAAAAAGCCGCAAAAAAAUAGUCGCCCCUAGCUUCCGCUUGUAAGACGGGGAAUAACAGAAAGUCAAACCCAAACUAGCUAGAUCGGAUUCUCCCGCCUGAGAGAUGAAGUUCGAAAUAUAAUUCAGGAUAGUCAUUUACUAGCGUGUCGGUUCGCAGGUACUUGGUGAAUUUAAAGAUCGACUAAGCAUGUAGUACCAAUGAUGAAUGAUUUCUGGACGCGGGUUCAACUCCCGCCAGCUCCACCA